GUGCUCACUUUGGCAGCACAUAUACUAAAGUUGUAAGGAUACAAAGAUUAGCAUGGCCCCUGCACAAGGAUGACAAGUAAAUUUGUGAAGCAUUCCAUAUUUUU
rnacentral:snRNA from 1 species